rnacentral:tRNA from 3 species
GCUGGUGUAGCUCAGCUGGCUAGAGCAGCUGAUUUGUAAUCAGCAGGUCGGGGGUUCAAGUCCCUUCACCAGCUCCA